rnacentral:lncRNA from 1 species
GUGAUGCACUAUCUCCCUUCAACCCUUUGAGCGAAAUGCAGCAAAAGAAAAGGAAGGAAAAUCCAUGGACCGACCCCAUCAUCUCUACACCGUAGGAACUACCAGAUCACCCCAUGGGCGACUUUGGCAUCCAGGGGUCAUGGACCGACCAUAGAACCCUGUUUAAUAAGUGGAACACAUUAGCUGUCUGUUCUCAGGUUGGGCAGUAAGGGUUGGAGAAGGGCAAUCACUCAUUCUUAAAACUAGC